AUUGGCUCUCAAUCUGUAACAACCCAGCUGUCUACAAUCACAGGUUUUCAUCUGUCAUUCAGCUCCUAGAAUUCUUACUGCAGAUGUUCCCCUCACCCUGCCCACCAGAGCGCCCAUCAUUGAUCGACUGAAUUAACAGCAGGUAGAGAUUCGACAGUUCCAAGUUCUUAGAUGAAAGCGCCCCACGGCUUCCAUGAAGCUCUGCUCGGCUUGGGCACACCUGCUCCCGGGGGGACAGACUGGGCCAGUCCUCGGACACCAGGAAGAUGGAAACAUGACUUGCCCUCUGGUGUUUAGCUAUAUAGAUCUACUGUUUAAGACAUGACAUGGCCCUGUAGUACUGAUGAGGGUGGUCUGAUGGCGCCUGGCCCAUGGGGCCAGGAGGAAAAGGCUGCUGUAAGGGUGGAGAAGAAGAAGAAAAGAAGAAGAAGAAGAAGAAGAAGAAGAAGAAGAAGAAGAAGAAGAAGAAGAAGAAGAAGAAGAAGAAGAAGAA